AGAGUCCUCCUGGAAUCCUAGUUCCACCUAUCUUGAUUUCUUAUUGGCCAGCAGUGCUUUAUUGACAAAUGCACAGGACUUCCCCCAACAUGUGCCUCUUAGCCUUUCUGUCUUCGGAGCAUUUCUAGAUUAAUUAAGCUGGGAAGGUUCGUUGAGGUGAGAAGACCUAGCCGGAAUGUGGGUGGCAUUCUUCCAUGAACUGGCCCUGGACUGAAUGAAAGGAAAAAGUGAUUCACCAUAGCAUAUCCAUCUUACUAUGAAACCAUAUGUUGAUUUCCAGCAUUUAAGAGAAAACUGAGGUCCUGGCUUUUCCACAGACAGAACAGCUCUGGGAAGACACAGAGUGUGGUAUAAAGGCAACCAUUGCCAAGGUGGAUUUCUCAGCUUUUAUGUUAAGUUGCGUCAUUGCUCCAUUAAAGUUGGGAUUGGAUUCAAAAACCUGGGUAAAUAAGAUAUGAGCACUUAUUUUUAGGAUCCUGCUUCCACAGCUGUAAGCCAUUCCCACCAAGUGGCCUUCACAUCAUGAUGGAGAGUAUCUCUGCAAGUCGGAAUCUCAGAUAAAAUUUCCUCUGAUACCUUGACUGUGAAUAAUAGUUUCAAUAAGAAAGACAGGAUGUGUUCUGACAGGAAGACUAUGAGCUGUGACAGAUAGAAGAAAAAUGAAGCCAAGCAACAUGGAGAUAUGUCAUCACUUCUGGGUUUUGCCUGGAUCUAUAUCCAGUCACCUAUGCCUUUUCAUACUGGGCACUCAUUCAAGAAACAGCAUAUCUUCUCUGACUUUGAAGUAAUGGAUGAACUUUCAAGGGCAACACAUGGAAAUGAGUCUUACUACUUUCUCCUCACAACAUGCAUCCAUCUGCUCAUUUGUCCAUUCAAUAGUCGUAUAUUGAGAGCUCACUCUGUGUGUUAGGCUCAGUACUAGGUACUAGAGGUUAUCAAUCACAUGGUUCCUAGAAAUUAUAUAAUAGUGAACAUGAACAGUUUGAUUUUUAUCUUUAAAAUUCAUUUCAUGUUGCUGGAUAGAUAGCUUGGUGGUUAAGAGUACUUGCUGUUCCUCCGGAAGAUGCAAGUUCAAUCUUCAACACCCAUGUUUGGAGGCUCAUGACAUCCUAUAACUCCAGCUCCAGUGGGUCCAAUGCUCUGUCCUGGCUUCUAUGGACACCUGCACACAUAAAGCAGAUACACAUAAAUAUGAGACUAAAAAACCUAAAUAUUAUACCUCAAGGUUAAAGCCUUCUAACCAGAAAUCCUUGAAUGGAUGGAAAAGGCAGUGAAAAGUGCAAUUACUUAAUAAGUUUUUAGUAUCCAUAUAUUAGUGGUCUUAUAAAAACACUUCCAUAUUCACUGUUGGAAAUCUCAAGUAUUUUGUGUAUGUGUGUGGUGUUUGUGUGCAUGUAUGUGCCUGUGUACCUGUUUGUGUGUGAGAAUGAGGGGAUACACACACACACACACACACACACACACACACACACAGGUUGAUGUUAGUGUCUUCCUAGAUUGAUUAUUUUUGAGAUAUGGGCAUACCCUUACUGAAUCUGGAUUUCACAAUUGUGGGUAGGCUGGCUGGAUAAACACACUGUAGGGAUCCACCCAUCUCUGCUUCUUCCCACAGGUUUAACAUUACAGGCUCGUGCAGGUGUCUGGCUUUUAAGUGGGCACUGGGGAUUCAAACUCAGGCCCACCUGCUUGUAUGGCUGGUUUUUAACCAAUGUAACCAUCAUUGAAGUCCCUGAAAUGUUACAAGCCAGUUAUGAGCCAGACAAAUCAUGAUUGAACCUAGAGAUGCUUGCUCUAUUUGUUGCUCAGGUGGAAAAGUAAACAGCUUUCUGUGAGCUUUCCUUUCUGUUUAACCAGCAGCAGCUGCGGCAGUGAAGACUUUAUGUUUCUCAGGAUGGGUUUUCUGCCUGCCAUUGUUUACAAUACAAUGCUAUAGUAAUAAUCUUGUAAA